rnacentral:rRNA from 1 species
GAUGAACGCUGGCGGCGUGCCUAAUACAUGCAAGUCGAGCGAACAGAUGAGGAGCUUGCUCCUCUGACGUUAGCGGCGGACGGGUGAGUAACACGUGGAUAACCUACCUAUAAGACUGGGAUAACUUCGGGAAACCGGAUCUAAUACCGGAUCAUAUAUUGAACCGCAUGGUUCAAUAGUGAAACACGGUUUUGCCGUCACUUAUAGAUGGAUCCGCGCCGCAUUAGCUAGUUGGUAAGGUAACGGCUUACCAAGGCAACGAUGCGUAGCCGACCUGAGAGGAUGAUCAGCCACACUGGAACUGAGACACGGUCCAGACUCCUACGGGAGGCAGCAGUAGGGAAUCUUGCGCAAUGGGCGAAAGCCUGACGGAGCAACGCCGCGUGAGUGAUGAAGGUCUUCGGAUCGUAAAGCUCUGUUAUUGGGGAAGAAAAAAUGUGUAUGUAACUAUGCACGUCUUGACGGUACCUAAACAGAAAGCAACGGCUAACUUCGUG